rnacentral:tRNA from 1 species
GACCUCGUAGCUCAGCUGAUAGAGCAUGUAUGUACAAAGCGUAGGCGGCGUCCAUGCAUGGGUUCGAAUCCCACCGAGGCUA